rnacentral:rRNA from 1 species
UACGGGGGGGGCAAGCGUUGUUCGGAAUUACUGGGCGUAAAGGGCUCGUAGGCGGCCAACUAAGUCAGACGUGAAAUCCCUCGGCUUAACCGGGGAACUGCAUCUGAUACUGGAUGGCUUGAGUUCGGGAGAGGGAUGCGGAAUUCCAGGUGUAGCGGUGAAAUGCGUAGAUAUCUGCAGGAACACCCGUGGCGAAAGCGGCGCGCUGGACCACUACUGACGCUGAGGAACGAAAGCUAGGGGAGCAAACAGG